GGGAAGCGGCUCGGGAUUUGUUUGAGCUGGAGUUCUGGUGGAUGCCGAGUGGAGUUGGAACAACUUUGUUUUGUUGUCGGAGCGGCUGAAGGAGUGCGUUUGUCCUUUAAAGCACGCUGGAGACGAGCCGCAGUCUAAUCUCUAAUGCUGGUCUCAUGUUUAAUGGGCGAGGGAGGCGAGCGCGCCGUGGAGGGGGGCGACGGGCGAGGAGAGCGGUCAACCUUCCUAAUUGAUCAACCCCAAACUAACCCUAAAUGAACCCCAUUGAUACAGCUGUCUCAGAACUGUUAAUAUAUGCAACGUCUUCGGGCAGUAGCAGCCACACAGUCAAAAUUUCUUGCGAAAUUUUCUAGUUUUGUUCUACUGUCUUUCUCUUAACUUUUCAGGUGUGUGCCACAUGCGCUGAUGUUGAGAGAAGCUUCACUCUACCAGCCAGUCUUCGGCUCCUUUUGCUCGGAAUUGAGCCCAUGAAAAACAGCCCAUGGAUGAUCAGUAUUGAGGGACACCCGGUCUGUGAGGGCAUUCAGCCAAUCUUUGGGUUGGGACUUGCUGCACCGUUUGCACUGUUCUAUAUUUUCAACCUCCAGUAUCAAGAAAGAGACCUGCAAAACCCUGGAAUUAAUUCAAAGACGGUUCCUCUGUAUAAAUCCGGAACGACGUAGCAAGGCCACCCGUGGAAAGGUUAUCUCGAAAAGGACCAGUAAAGUGGUUCAGAAAAGGCCAGCAAGUGUCAACGCGCAUGUUGCCACACUGUUAAAUAACUUGUUGGACUUUGAGUGGGACUUCAUCUAGGUAGUUCACAUCUGUCUAAUCACUAUGAUCUCUUUAUUAUGUGCAUGCUAGAGCUCCAGUAAAACAGCACACUAAACGCUUAUAACAUUCAUUUUAGUAUCCUUGAACAUCAUUGCACACCCUACAUACCACGUGGAGCACCUUAACAAACACUCGAGUAACCCCC